rnacentral:rRNA from 1 species
UGGAUAGUGGCGACGGGUGAGUAACACGUGGGCAAUCUGCCCUUCACUCUGGGACAAGCCCUGGAAACGGGGUCUAAUACCGGAUAACACUCUGUCCCGCAUGGGACGGGGUUAAAAGCUCCGGCGGUGAAGGAUGAGCCCGCGGCCUAUCAGCUUGUUGGUGGGGUAAUGGCCUACCAAGGCGACGACGGGUAGCCGGCCUGAGAGGGCGACCGGCCACACUGGGACUGAGACACGGCCCAGACUCCUACGGGAGGCAGCAGUGGGGAAUAUUGCACAAUGGGCGAAAGCCUGAUGCAGCGACGCCGCGUGAGGGAUGACGGCCUUCGGGUUGUAAACCUCUUUCAGCAGGGAAGAAGCGAAAGUGACGGUACCUGCAGAAGAAGCGCCGGCUAACUACGUGCCAGCAGCCGCGGUAAUACGUAGGGCGCAAGCGUUGUCCGGAAUUAUUGGGCGUAAAGAGCUCGUAGGCGGCUUGUCACGUCGGAUGUGAAAGCCCGGGGCUUAACCCCGGGUCUGCAUUCGAUACGGGCUAGCUAGAGUGUGGUAGGGGAGAUCGGAAUUCCUGGUGUAGCGGUGAAAUGCGCAGAUAUCAGGAGGAACACCGGUGGCGAAGGCGGAUCUCUGGGCCAUUACUGACGCUGAGGAGCGAAAGCGUGGGGAGCGAACAGGAUUAGAUACCCUGGUAGUCCACGCCGUAAACGUUGGGAACUAGGUGUUGGCGACAUUCCACGUCGUCGGUGCCGCAGCUAACGCAUUAAGUUCCCCGCCUGGGGAGUACGGCCGCAAGGCUAAAACUCAAAGGAAUUGACGGGGGCC